rnacentral:lncRNA from 1 species
AAGCUUUUGUGGGAAGCGAUGACAACUUAAAUGUCCCAUGGAAGCAGCUCCCCCAGAUUUCUACACAUCGCAUUUCUUUUUCUGAGUGUCUGUACUUCUGGUUACUUUAAACAGGAAGAUAUUAUCUAUAAUUUUUCAUCAUAAAUCUGUUUAAUUAUCUUUAUUUUUUCUCUGGGGCCCCAAUUUAAUGAAAAGGUAUAAUUUUGACUGCUAAAAAAUUGAGCUUUGCUACUCUAGUCAAUAUUUUUCAUUACCAUUGUCCUUUCUAGGCAAGCCUCUUGAUAAUGGAAUUGCAUAUGAGCUCUUUAUGAGGAUUUUGACAAACUUCCAUUCAAAACCAAGGCAAUUUUAAUGGCUCAGGGACUGAAUGCAAGGGGUCUGGGGUAAAAGGGAUGGGGCAAGCUUUUUUUUUAUGGGCGCAUAACUGCUGAGGGCUAGUGUCAGUGCAGGCAUGUGGGAGAGCAGGCUGAUCAUCAGGACUGAGUGUAAAUAUUAAGCAGCAAGUGACUGGGAGAUAUUAAGCCUAGAACAAGGGGAGAUAGGAAACAUAAUACACGAACCACCUGGGAGGUGAGAUGUGAGACCAUUUAUGGAGAUGAGAUGCAGAAUGCAACUGACAAGUGAUACUGAUGGGAGCAAAGUCAAGGUAGCUACUAGCCCCUAGAGUGAUCAACAUGAUAAUGAAAAAUUAACAACUACCUUUACCAAGUAUUUUACAUACUAUUUCAUUUUCAUCCUCAGAACAACCGUGAAAGGUAAUGUUAUUAAUCUGACUUUAUAGAUAAUAAGAAAUCUAGGAUUAAAAUCUUGGUCUUCUUGAGGUCAAAGGCUGAGCUUGACACAGCAUUGGCACCAUCUCUUCAGGAAGAUGCUUCUAAGCAGAAAGGCUUGGGGCGAAACUUCUGACCUUCAGCUUCAAUUGACUCCUAAGGAAUGGUGGACCAUCCUUGCCAAUAAUUGAUUUGCAGGGGAGACCGUUGUGCAUUUGGAAAAGGACUUGUUGGUAGGAGCAGAGGGAAAGGAAUAGGGAAUUCAUUGAGCUGUGCCAGCCAGGGUCAGAGUCUUCCAGCUGAAAUGGAGUGCUGAUUUUGGAUAUAGCUAAUGGCAGGCACUCUGAUCCAGUUCCCUUAGGGUGAUACCUGGAUGUUAGGAGGACAGGGCUAAAAACAAAGAUGGUGAGUUAUGUCAUGAAGACCACAAUGUACCAUUAGAGGACAAAGGCAUCCUUUCUUGGGGACUGACUUAGGAAAAUAUACAUGAAGUAAAGGGAAUGGAUUCUUCCAUUUUUGGAUAGCAUGGCUGGACUGUGGAGUGUUUGGGGUGCUGGUUAAUUCUACCAAGGUGAGUGACAGCUCUUUCCACAUCUGGAUUGGCCAUUUUGACAUAGAAAUCAGGCAAAUGCCUGCGGAAAGAAGGCUUUGACAGGCACCAACAAGGAUAGCAGGAGCCUUGCCAAGGCAGAAAUUCUAGACCUUGUCAGGAAAAAUUGAGAACUACUUUGAAAUGGGGGAAAAAUAAUUAGAGCAUCCCUUCAAUGGAAUACUAGGUGUUGGAUAGUGCCCCCUUCUGGUUAUCUGAUCUUCUUGGGCUUCACAUCUUUUUUUGUCUUUGAAUUUGCAUCCUCUGAACAUUCCUAAUUGCCUAUGGAUGUAUCUGCUCUAGAUUCUCCUUUGACCCUAUUGCAGCGUCCUAUUGGUUCCCUCAUUAAUUUAAAUAAAUUUUUCGUAAGGUAGAUCUUCUCUUUGUACAAGAGUCAUAUUUUUACAUUAAACAAAAGCAUCCUUUAAGAGCUCAUUUAAAAUGUUCAGCAAGCACACCCAAAUCUCCCUCAUGAUAAGUCAGAGUUCUUCAUGAACAAGAAUCCAGCCUUUCAUGCAUCUAUUAAAGGUUGUGGGGAGAACGAUGUCUGGCUUUGCUGGUUCAAUUUCUUCUCUGCCUUUUGAGAAACAGUGUUCUGCCCCUGCUGGGUUGAUUUUUUAUAGACUUUUAUGACAUGGUUGGAUGGAAGAUACAGUGAAGAAGGAAAUAAGAGGCUUGGAGUAAAGCUGGAGGAAGAGGGGUUUUUUUUUGUUUGUUUGUUUGUUUUUGUUUUUUGGGACAUUUGAGGGAGUUACUCUUUGAAGGUGUGAAGAAAGUGGAUGGAGAAGGAAAGGAACUUCAUGAACUGUAUCCCCAUUCAUAAUAGUCAUAAACACAAGCAAAGUUAUUUUGAAAAUGCGUUUUCAUUUAUAGGACUAUGUCUCUUUAACUGUGACUUCUCUCUGAGGAGUCCUCUGGGUUGGUCAUGGUUUUGUAGGUUUUGUACCAACACUUGUUAUUGGCCAUAAAGAUACUUGAGAUGACAUGUCCACAGGGUACUUUUUAAACAGAAAAAUGAGGUUGGUUCCCACUCAGGAGAGUUAUAGGUAUGAAAUCUUAGCAAAAUCUAAAAAAUAAAACCCUAUUGUUUUCAGUGCUCUAUUCAUAAUUUCCCACUUCCUUUAAUUUGUAAUAAUGACCCUAGUUGGUGCAGUGUAUUAGCAAAUUGUGAAUGUUUGCUGUUUUUUGAAGUCCAUCUACUUGCUGAUUUUAUUGGCCAUACCUUCUUGCUACAGAUAAGAACAAUUUUAUCCUUUUCUUGGCCCAACCAAGAAUAAAUAGCCAGGGCCAAUAUUUUUUUUCUCACCAAGUCUUCAGCUCUGCAGAAGAUAAAACCUUUAUAACUGAAUAGAAAAAUUUCUAAGAGAUGCUGGAAUGAGUGACCCAGUAGCCUUAGGUCACCUCUCUAUCUGAGCACCAACCUCUGUCCCGCUCUUCUUGACUGUACACUGUAGAUCACAUGUAAGACCUUUGGCAAAUAAAUGUGCAUUGAAGGCAAGAAGAAACCCUGAUGGUGGGUCAGAAGAAGCUCAAGGUGGGGCCCAGCUCUAGCUAUCACAUACGGCAUUCCUCUUAUAACAAAUAUCCUUUUGUUAUAAUUGUAUGAAUUUGGGUAACAAUCUCCCUAGGCCUCUGUUUCUUUGUCUGUAAAAUGAAAGGGCUACCUAGAUUCCUGAACUAUUUUUUAGCUUUUAAGGUUCCAAGAGUCCAUGGACUUUGGGCAUAAACAAUAGGCAAUGAAGAUCUCCCUUACAUCUCACCAUUAAACCACAGCUCACUGCAAUUCUGGCCUUGGUCUCGAAUUCUCUGUUUAUUAGAGAAUCGAAUUAACUGGAGUGAGCAGUUCUCCCUUUAUGAACAUUUUGGCUAAUUAAGAUUUCUCUGCAAAGGACACUCAAUUCCCCAAACCUCUCCUGGGCCCUUAGGGGAGCGUGGGUGUGCAUGAAGACAGGACAGGUCAGAAUGAUGGCAAGUGGUGGGAUCAGCCAUUGGUGCAAGGUAACAUUGAUCAAGGAGUUCUUGGGAACUCCCAGAACCAACUUAAAAGAACAGGUAGGCAUCAGGCACCUAUGAGAGGAGAGGCCACAGAGGGUUCAGGAAGAAGGCAAACAGAGGUGCUAGACAAAAUUCUUGCCAUGCUGAGGGAUAGACUGGACCAGUGAUCCAGGACAAUCCUAGGUACAAAUUUCCUAUCUCAGUCUUGUUCAGGUCAGCUCUACCUACCUGAAGCCUGGAGGCAAGUCCAGAUCUCUGUCACCUUGAACAGAAUGUCACAACUUCUUUUCCUAAUUCUAUGGCAGUUGCUGAAAAGUAUCACCCAGGUAUAGAGAUGAGAAAAUAUUGUUUGAACACUAACACUUAUUUUCUGGUGAUAAAAGAAUUGUCUUUCUUUCAUCAUUGUUCCAUCAACUCCAACUACAAAAGGGCUUAGGUUUCCCAGAGCCUUCAUGUAAUUGCCUGCCCCAGUAAUAAAGAGGCUACAGUCUCUUCUGUUGUGAUAGCAACAGAACGUUUUGGAACUUCGGUUCCCCUCUGGCUUCUCCACCUGCGUUCAGUUUGUUGGGUGAGAGAGUCUGAGUUUGAUUCUCUUGGUCGAUUUUCUAAAAUUAAAUUGCCCUGUAAGUUUGCUCCAAAUAAUUUAGACAGAGGGUCAAAACGCUGUACUAAUUGGUUGAUAGUAGUCCAGUUUUCUGUCUGGUUUUGCCUGGAGGCUCUUUUAAAUGGCUUUCUGGGAGAAUCAGGGAUUCCUACUGCUCUACUAAGUUCAGACUUUCAGAGACACUUGCCUCUCCCUUCAGUUUUCUUUUUCCCCUUUGUUCCCGGUACUGGCUGGACCUGCCCUCAACUCAGUUUGCUGCUCAUCAUGGGCCAGUCCACCUUUUCAGGAUGCACUUGGACCAUCGCCAGGCCCUGGGGACCUGGCAUAGACUCCUUGGCAGCAGAAAGCAGGUGGGUGGGAAGUGGGAGGAGUGGCCAGAGUCUCUGUCUCUUCAGGUUCCUUUUUUUUUCUUGCAAGUCCUGCCAGAGGAUGGAGAGACCACAUAACUUAUCAUCCAAAAUUGAGACACUUUUUUGAUGGUGUUUCUUAGUCAUUAUUGAUUGCUGCACCUGUACAGCAAGAACAAACCACGGUCUGCCUGCUUAUAAUGUUCUUCUCUUACCUUCUCCUGGGUAGCUCCCAUUCACUCAUUCUUCAAGUUUUGGUCUUGAUAAUGACUUUUUUUUUUUUUUUUUUAAAGGAAGACUUUUCUUUUUUGCCUUUUUUUUUUUUUUUUUUUUUUUUUUUAGGUCACACCCAUGGCAUAUGGAAGUUCUUAAAGGAGGGUCUCAUUAGAGCUGCAGCUGCUUUCCUAUGCCAUAGCCACAGCAAUGCCAGAUCCAAGCCACGUCUGCAUUCUACACCACAGCUCAAGGCAACGCUGGUUCCUUUAACCCACUGAGCGAGGUCAGGGAUAGAACCUGCAUCCUGGUGGAUGCCAGUUGGAAUCUUAGCCCACUGUGCCACAAUGGGAAAUCCCAGGAAGACUUUUCUAACUCCCUGGGGCUGGGUUAGAUGCCCUGCUUCUAAAACUUUCCCUUCCCAUCAAAGCCAUCAUUCCAUCUUGUAAUUACCUGUUUACAGCUCUUUCUCUCUCAUGAGUAUGUACCUGGGGCUCAGGUGCUGGGCACUAUUGACUUGUUUACACAGCACAGCCUCUGGCUUGGUGAUUGCAGCUCAGUAUUUACUGAUGGCUACACUGAUUUUCUUUCUCUCCUACUGGGUUUUGGUGCUUUGGGUCUCUAGUGUCUUCUAUGGUGUUUGCCUGUAUUUAGGUUAGCUUAGUGUUGGCUUCUCGCAUCUGGUGCUUGGCUGCUCCCUCCUGAUUUUCCUCUUUGCCAUUUUCUUAUCCAUCGAGCUCAUUCUUCUCUCCUCCCUCCACUGCUCCCUAGCUCUCAUGGUGUCCUGUGCUGGACAGGACAGCUCAACAUCUCUUUCCUCUCUUCCCCCCCUGUACAACAUUACCUAAAAUGAGUGGGUGGCUCCUGCUGUGGAAGUGCGUCCCAAGAACAAAUGUCUCCAUGCUCUGUGGCUUUGGAAUAAGAGAACGGAGCCCAGGCCUUGACAGCCUAGAAUAUCUCUGGCUGUUUCGAGUUGGUGAUGAAUUUCUUUUAGCGCACAUGUAUGUUAGUAAGUUUUCACCUCUGCUCUGCCUCUGCGGUCUAGUCCUUUACAUGGCAGUAGGUUCGAAGCAGAAUGGCUGCUGGGAUGAUUUCCAUUGCUAUAGUAAAUUUCUUCUGGAUCUUCAAGCAUUCUGAAUUUGAGAAGUGGGCAACAUUGUUUACUGUUGGUCUUCUUGGACACCAACACUCCCAGACCCAGGGAAGGAAAGCUUGUUCAACACAGGUGUUCCUCAAAAAUGAGACUAAGUUGGAAGGAGGCUAGUGAUAGGAAUUUAACUUUUUUUCCCCUGUGCUGGCCUUUGAGGUUCCACUUUUUCCUUAAUUGUCCUUUCUUUGUUUCUGAUGAUUUUGCUGUUGGUGCUUAUCUCUUUUCCUGCCUCAAUUCAAAGCCACAAAUGAAUUCCAUAUCUCUGUUCACCUCUGGCUUGUCUGAGCUUCUUUGCUACCUCAUAUACUUUAGCUCUGAAAACUGCAGGCCAGCCAUUUGUAUGCAGGAGCUGGCAUGCCCUGGCCCUGAGAGCCAGCCCCAUGUCUCUCUUCUCAGCUUUGCAUUUGGUAGUUUGCAAAUCCACUAGAGUGGGAGCAUUUAUACCAUGGAAAUCAGUGAAUUUGGCAAAGUUAAAAAUCAAGGGUGUGUGUGUGUCUGUUUAGGUGGAGAGAAAAAUAUUAAAUCAGUGAAAACAGGAGGUCUCUGGUAGUGCAGUGGCUUAAGAAUCUGGUAUGGUCACUACAGUAGCUCCUUCACUGCUGUGGCACCAGUGUGAUCCUUGGCUGGGCGAAAACAAAAGAAAUCAGCAAAAAUACAAACAAGAAUGUAUGUAUUCCUGGAGUUCCCGUCGUGGCUCAGUGGUUAACGAAUCCAACUAGGAACCGUGAGGUUGCGGGUUUGAUCCCUGGCCUUGCUCAGUGGGUUAAGGAUCCGGCAUUGCCGUGAGCUGUGGUGUAGGUUGCAGACGUGGCUCAGAUCCCGAAUUGCUAUGGCUCUGGCAUAGGCCAGCGGCUAUAGCCUCGAUCAGACCCCUAGCCUGGGAACCUCCAUAUGCCACGGGAAGUGGCC